rnacentral:miRNA from 1 species
CCCCUCAGCGGCGGAGAGGGAUUCCUCUCCGCCGUUGAGAGUGUAUACUCUCACCGGCCGAGAGGAAUCCCUCUCAGUCAAUGAGAGUGUACCGACCGAGAGGGAUUCCUCUCGGCCGGUGAGAGUGUACACUCUCAUCGACCGAGAGUGAUUCCUCUCGGCCGGUGAGAGU